rnacentral:rRNA from 1 species
CGCCAGACUCCUACGGGAGGCAGCAGUGGGGGGUAUUGCACAAUGGGGGAAACCCUGAUGCAGCGACGCCGCGUGAGCGAUGAAGUAUUUCGGUAUGUAAAGCUCUAUCAGCAGGGAAGAAGAUGACGGUACCUGACUAAGAAGCCCCGGCUAACUACGUGCCAGCAGCCGCGGUAAUACGUAGGGGGCAAGCGUUAUCCGGAUUUACUGGGUGUAAAGGGAGCGUAGACGGCGAUGCAAGCCAGAUGUGAAAGCCCGGGGCUCAACCCCGGGACUGCAUUUGGAACUGUGUGGCUGGAGUGUCGGAGAGGCAGGCGGAAUUCCUAGUGUAGCGGUGAAAUGCGUAGAUAUUAGGAGGAACACCAGUGGCGAAGGCGGCCUGCUGGACGAUGACUGACGUUGAGGCUCGAAAGCGUGGGGAGCAAACAGGAUUAGAUACCCGCGUA